UUUGGUUAAGUUAGAAAGGGCGCACGGUGGAUGCCUUGACACUAGGAGUCGAUGAAGGACGGGACUAACGCCGAUAUGCUUCGGGGAGCUGUAAGUAAGCUUUGAUCCGAAGAUUUCCGAAUGGGGAAACCCACCAUACGUAAUGGUAUGGUAUCCUUAUCUGAAUACAUAGGGUAAGGAAGACAGACCCAGGGAAC
rnacentral:rRNA from 1 species